UACGUAGGUGGCGAGCGUUAUCCGGAUUUAUUGGGCGUAAAGCGUCCGCAGCCGGUUUAUUAAGUCUAAGAUUAAAGCCCGAAGCUUAACUUCGGUUCGUUUUAGAAACUGGUAGACUCGAGUGUGGUAGAGGCAAGUGGAACUUCUAGUGUAGCGGUAAAAUGCGUAGAUAUUAGGAGGAACACCAGUGGCGAAGGCGGCUUACUGGACUGUAACUGACGUUGAGGCUCGAAAGCGUGGGGAGCAAACAGG
rnacentral:rRNA from 1 species